rnacentral:rRNA from 1 species
AAGCGGAGGAAAAGAAACCAACAGGGAUUGCCCUAGUAACGGCGAGUGAAGCGGCAACAGCUCAAAUUUGAAAUCUGGCGUCUUCGGCGUCCGAGUUGUAAUUUGCAGAGGGCGCUUUGGCAUUGGCAGCGGUCCAAGUUCCUUGGAACAGGACGUCACAGAGGGUGAGAAUCCCGUACGUGGUCGCUAGCCUUUACCGUGUAAAGCCCCUUCGACGAGUCGAGUUGUUUGGGAAUGCAGCUCUAAAUGGGAGGUAAAUUUCUUCUAAAGCUAAAUACUGGCCAGAGACCGAUAGCGCACAAGUAGAGUGAUCGAAAGAUGAAAAGCACUUUGGAAAGAGAGUUAAAAAGCACGUGAAAUUGUUGAAAGGGAAGCGCUUGCAGCCAGACUUGCCUGUAGUUGCUCAUCCGGGUUUCUACCCGGUGCACUCUUCUAUAGGCAGGCCAGCAUCAGUUUGGGCGGUUGGAUAAAGGUCUCUGUCAUGUACCUCUCUUCGGGGAGAACUUAUAGGGGAGACGACAUGCAACCAGCCUGGACUGAGGUCCGCGCAUCUGCUAGGAUGCUGGCGUAAUGGCUGUAAGCGGCCCGUCUUGAAACACGGACCAAGGAGUCUAACAUCUAUGCGAGUGUUUGGGUGUCAAGCCCGAGCGCGUAAUGAAAGUGAACGGAGGUGGGAACCUUUCGGGGUGCACCAUCGACCGAUCCUGAUGUCUUCGGAUGGAUUUGAGUAAGAGCAUAGCUGUUGGGACCCGAAAGAUGGUGAACUAUGCUUGAAUAGGGUGAAGCCAGAGGAAACUCUGGUGGAGGCUCGCAGCGGUUCUGACGUGCAAAUCGAUCGUCAAAUUUGGGCAUAGGGGCGAAAGACUAAUCGAACUAUCUAGUAGCUGGUUCCUGCCGAAUUU